GAGUUUGAUCAUGGCUCAGGAUGAACGCUAGCGGCAGGCCUAACACAUGCAAGUCGAACGGUAACAGGAAAUAGCUUGCUAUUUUGCUGACGAGUGGCGCACGGGUGCGUAACGCGUAUACAAUCUACCUUUUGCUGAGGGAUAGCCCAGAGAAAUUUGGAUUAAUACCUCAUGGUAUUAUUGAUAGGCAUCUAUUAAUAAUUAAAGGUUACGGCAAAAGAUGAGUAUGCGUCCCAUUAGCUAGUUGGUGAAGUAACGGUUCACCAAGGCAACGAUGGGUAGGGGUCCUGAGAGGGAGAUCCCCCACACUGGUACUGAGACACGGACCAGACUCCUACGGGAGGCAGCAGUGAGGAAUACUGGACAAUGGGCGCAAGCCUGAUCCAGCCAUGCCGCGUGCAGGAUGACGGCCCUAUGGGUUGUAAACUGCUUUUGUACGGGAAGAAACACC
rnacentral:rRNA from 1 species